GAGUUUGAUCGUGGCUCAGGACGAACGCUGGCGGUGUGCUUAAUACAUGCAAGUCGAACGAGACUUUCGGGUCUAGUGGCGGACGGCUGAGUAACGCGUAGGUAACGUACCUCUUACUGGGGGAUAACAUCGGGAAACCGGUGCUAAUACCGCAUAAGUCGUGUCUUGAAAUAGAUACGAUUAAAGAUUUAUCGGUAAGAGAUUGGCCUGCGUCUGAUUAGCUAGUUGGUAGGGUAACGGCCUACCAAGGCGAUGAUCAGUAGUUGGUCUGAGAGGAUGACCAGCCAGAGUGGGACUGAGAACGGCCCACACUUCUACGGAAGGCAGCAGUAGGGAAUUUUGCGCAAUGGGCGAAAGCCUGACGCAGCAACACCGCGUGCGGGAUGAAGGCCUUGGGUUGUAAACCGCUGUCAGCAGGGAAUAAAUUGACUGUACCUGCAAAGGAAGCACCGGCUAACUACGUGCCAGCAGCCGCCGU
rnacentral:rRNA from 1 species